rnacentral:rRNA from 1 species
GUGUUGCAGUUAAAGCUCGUAGUCGAAUGUAGAGUCUUGAGCGCCGAGAUGUCUUUUUUUAUUAGGAGACAAUUUUUUUUUGGCGUUCUAGAUUCUUUUUUGCCGUUUACUAUUUGUUUUUCGUUAAACGAUUUUGGUACAUCGGUAAUUUUUACUGUGAAUAAAUUAGAGUGUUCAUGGCAGGCCAAGGGCUUAAAUAUCUCAGCAUGGAAUAAUAGAAUAGGACUUCUGGUUCUAUUUUGUUGGUUUUUGGAGCCGAAGUAAUGAUUAAUAGGAAUAGUUGGGGGCACUCGUACUCCGUUGUCAGAGGUGAAAUUCUUGGAUUUACGGAAGACGAACAACUGCGAAAGCAUCUGCCAAGGAUGUUUUCAUUGAUCAAGAACGAAAGUUAGGGGAUCGAAGACGAUUAGAUACCGUCGUAGUCUUAACCAUAAACUAUGCCGACUGGGGGAUUGGUAGAUGUAUCAAUAACGACUCUAUCAGCACCCUAUGAGAAAUCAAAGUCUCUGGGUUCUGGGGGGAGUAUGGUCGCA